rnacentral:rRNA from 1 species
GGUUAAGUUAAUAAGGGCGCACGGUGGAUGCCUUGGCACUAGGAGCCGACGAAGGACGUGACAAACGACGAUAUGCCUUGGGUAGCUGUAAGUAAGCGAUGAUCCAGGGAUUUCCGAAUGGGGGAACCCAACAGGUAAUACCUGUUACCUACAUCUGUUAAGGAUGUGAGGAGGAAGACGCAGUGAACUGAAACAUCUAAGUAGCUGCAGGAAGAGAAAGCAAAAGCGAUUGCCUUAGUAGCGGCGAGCGAAACGGCAGAAGGGCAAACCGAAGAGUUUACUCUUCGGGGUUGUAGGACUGCAAUGUGGACUCAAAGAUUAUAGAAGAAUGAUUUGGGAAGAUCAGCCAAAGAGAGUAAUAGCCUCGUAUUUAAAAUAGUCUUUGUACUUAGCAGUAUCCUGAGUACGGCGGGACACGUGAAAUCCCGUCGGAAUCUGGGAGGACCAUCUCCCAACCCUAAAUACUCCCUAGUGACCGAUAGUGAACCAGUACCGUGAGGGAAAGGUGAAAAGCACCCCGUGAGGGGAGUGAAAUAGAACCUGAAACCGUGUGCCUACAACAAGUUCGAGCCCGUUAAUGGGUGAGAGCGUGCCUUUUGUAGAAUGAACCGGCGAGUUACGUUAUGAUGCGAGGUUAAGUUGAAGAGACGGAGCCGUAGGGAAACCGAGUCUGAAUAGGGCGCCUUAGUAUCAUGACGUAGACCCGAAACCAUGUGACCUACCCAUGAGCAGGUUGAAGGUGCGGUAAGACGCACUGGAGGACCGAACCAGGGCACGUUGAAAAGUGCUUGGAUGACUUGUGGGUAGCGGAGAAAUUCCAAACGAACUUGGAGAUAGCUGGUUCUCUCCGAAAUAGCUUUAGGGCUAGCGUCGACAUUAGAGAUUCUUGGAGGUAGAGCACUGUUUGGGUGAGGGGUCCAUCCCGGAUUACCAAUCUCAGAUAAACUCCGAAUGCCAAUGAAUUAUGGUCGGCAGUCAGACUGCGAGUGCUAAGAUCCGUAGUCGAAAGGGAAACAGCCCAGACCACCAGCUAAGGUCCCAAAAUAAUUGUUAAGUGGAAAAGGAUGUGGGGUUGCACAGACAACUAGGAUGUUAGCUUAGAAGCAGCUAUUCAUUCAAAGAGUGCGUAAUAGCUCACUAGUCGAGUGACCCUGCGCCGAAAAUGUACCGGGGCUAAAACAAUUUACCGAAGCUGUGGAUACCUUUAUAGGUAUGGUAGGAGAGCGUUCUAUGUGUGAUGAAGGUAUACCGUGAGGAGUGCUGGAACGCAUAGAAGUGAGAAUGCCGGUAUGAGUAGCGAAAGACAGGUGAGAAUCCUGUCCACCGUAAGACUAAGGUUUCCAGGGGAAGGCUCGUCCGCCCUGGGUUAGUCGGGACCUAAGGAGAGACCGAAAGGUGUAUCCGAUGGACAACAGGUUGAUAUUCCUGUACUAGAGUAUGUAGUGAUGGAGGGACGCAGUAGGCUAACUAAAGCAGACGAUUGGAAGAGUCUGUCUAAGCAGUGAGGUGUGAAUUGAGUCAAAUGCUUAAUUCUAUAACAUUGAGCUGUGAUGGGGAGCGAAGUUUAGUAGCGAAGUUAGUGACGUCACACUGCCAAGAAAAGCUUCUAGCGUUUAAACAUACUCUACCCGUACCGCAAACCGACACAGGUAGUCGAGGCGAGUAGCCUCAGGUGAGCGAGAGAACUCUCGUUAAGGAACUCGGCAAAAUGACCCCGUAACUUCGGGAGAAGGGGUGCUGACUUAAAGUCAGCCGCAGUGAAUAGGCCCAAGCAACUGUUUAUCAAAAACACAGCUCUCUGCUAAAUCGUAAGAUGAUGUAUAGGGGGUGACGCCUGCCCGGUGCUGGAAGGUUAAGAGGAGUGCUUAGCGUAAGCGAAGGUAUGAAUUGAAGCCCCAGUAAACGGCGGCCGUAACUAUAACGGUCCUAAGGUAGCGAAAUUCCUUGUCGGGUAAGUUCCGACCCGCACGAAAGGCGUAAUGAUUUGGGCACUGUCUCAACGAGAGACUCGGUGAAAUUUUAGUACCUGUGAAGAUGCAGGUUACCCGCGACAGGACGGAAAGACCCCAUGGAGCUUUACUGCAGUUUGAUAUUGAGUGUCUGUACCACAUGUACAGGAUAGGUAGGAGUCUAAGAGAUCGGGACGCCAGUUUCGAAGGAGACGCUGUUGGGAUACUACCCUUGUGUUAUGGCCACUCUAACCCAGAUAGGUGAUCCCUAUCGGAGACAGUGUCUGACGGGCAGUUUGACUGGGGCGGUCGCCUCCUAAAAGGUAACGGAGGCGCCCAAAGGUUCCCUCAGAAUGGUUGGAAAUCAUUCGCAGAGUGUAAAGGUAUAAGGGAGCUUGACUGCGAGAGCUACAACUCGAGCAGGGACGAAAGUCGGGCUUAGUGAUCCGGUGGUUCCGUAUGGAAGGGCCAUCGCUCAACGGAUAAAAGCUACCCUGGGGAUAACAGGCUUAUCUCCCCCAAGAGUUCACAUCGACGGGGAGGUUUGGCACCUCGAUGUCGGCUCGUCGCAUCCUGGGGCUGUAGUCGGUCCCAAGGGUUGGGCUGUUCGCCCAUUAAAGCGGCACGCGAGCUGGGUUCAGAACGUCGUGAGACAGUUCGGUCCCUAUCCGUCGCGGGCGUAGGAAAUUUGAGAGGAUCUGCUCCUAGUACGAGAGGACCAGAGUGGACUUACCGCUGGUGUACCAGUUGUCUUGCCAAAGGCAUCGCUGGGUAGCUAUGUAGGGAAGGGAUAAACGCUGAAAGCAUCUAAGUGUGAAACCCACCUCAAGAUGAGAUUUCCCAUGAUUAUAUAUCAGUAAGAGCCCUGAGAGAUGAUCAGGUAGAUAGGUUAGAAGUGGAAGUGUGGCGACACAUGUAGCGGACUAAUACUAAUAGCUCGAGGACUUAUCCAA